AUGGCCUCGGGUGUGCCCGUGCGGUGCAGGGAGGCUAGGCGUGCGGACCAUGCACGGUCUAUCCACGGUGCAUGGACCAACCGUAAAGUUCAUGCACAGUCUAGGGAUGUUUUUGCCUGAUUGAAUGGUUAGGAUCGUAUAUAUGCGUGCUUGAUCGGAUGGUUAGGAAUAUUUCAGAGUCCUGGUAGAAGUCUUUGUGCAUUUUUUAUGAGGUUUAGGACUAUUGUACAUGGCAUUUUUGGUCUUUAAAAGGACCAACGGCC
rnacentral:lncRNA from 1 species